GGAAAAUGUAAUAGUUGAGUACAGACAGAAAGAAGAGAACAAAUUCAUGUAGGACCCCAAUAGCCAAAAGUAGAAGGGCUUCAAUGAAGUCAACUUAUACCACUAAGUGGAUUGUUGAUUCUUCGAUGGAUGAGGCUGUAUAAGGGGAUCAACAUUAAUCAAUGUUGCUGACAGGCUGGACAUUCAGCAGCAACCUUGACAAGAGAAUGAAGGCCAAAUUGAGUUUCCUUGAGCAACUCAUUUAACGUUAAGAAUCAAGAUGGUGCCCAAGCUCAGAUGACAUCCUUUCUAACCCAUUUGGAAGGCUCCUCUCAUAGGAGGUGUGAAAGAAAAGAGAAUGGAAAGGAACAGGCUCUUCUCUUGAAGAAAAGCCCUCAGUCCAUACAGCCAGACUUUGUCUACAUAUGCCUUUCUAUGGGAUGCUGAGAGACCAAGGGCUUCUGACAUAGACAUGUGAGAAAUACUGGCUUUAAGUAUACUAUACUCAGUGUCAAAAGCUUUCAGGAUGCAAGAAAUUCCUGAAUUUGAGUCUCCAAAAUUUUAAACAAGGAAAGGAAGUAAAAAUUAUCUCUUUUUCGAUGUAUGGCCCUAUAGUUGGCCAAAAAUGAUUGCUUCUGUUGUUAGAUAUUCAUGUAUAUUUAAGAUUAAAGAAGGUGAUAUUGAUGUGCAAAUAUGAGAGUAAAUUGACAGACAGAUAACCUAAAAAAGUACAGUAAAAUAAAGUUAAGAGUUGUGAUGAAUACCUAAAGGUCCAUUGCCAGAUGAAUGUGAAGACGGAAUGUGAUUUAUAUAUAUAGUGGAAUAUUAUUCAAUUAAAAAGAAAAUGCUAACACUUGCUAAUAUAUAUAAACCUUCAAGACAUUAUGCUAAGUGAAAGAAGCCAGAUACCAAAGGACAAAUAUUGCACUGUUCCACAUAUAUGAAGUGAACAUCACAUAUUGCUGAAGUUCUCAUCAUCAGAAAGAGGCAGAGCUAAGAUUUAAAUCCAGACAUGCCUGGUUCUGAAUUCAGUUGUCUUCCUACACCCAGGAGCUUAUUACAUGCAUUGUGCUAGUCUUCCUGGAAAUCAGGCAAACUCAGUCCACUGCACCUCAUCUCCUUAUGUAAUAACCUGGAGAGCGGUGAGAGCCAUCUGCUUCAAGAGCGACAUAUUUGAGUCCAUAAGGUAAUAGGUUGGCAGAGAACAGAAGGAUUAUGGCAUUGCCAUUUGGCAUUCUUGACUUACUCUGCAUUUAUAAAAUCGAAAUACAUAGUCCAUCAUGUUCUCACAGAGCCUACCAUUAUCAGUCAUUCUGAAAUAAACAUGGUUAGGGACAUCAUAUUCAAAAUAAGUGAUCCUUGUUUUCGGGAAUGAUGUCUGGCAGGAGGAGUUUUUAAAUCCUGCUUUCUGAAGCACUAGCUUACAAAUGACUUUGUGAAGUGUAUUUUGAUUCUGGGGCCCAAGAAGGAGAAAAACAAGUAAGGGAGAAAAACAUAGGCUGGAUCUUAAGAUCACAAGAUAACAGAUGGAUUAAAGGGUAGAAGCCAGAGCAGAGGUUCCAAAACAAGAUUGAUCAUUCAAAUUCAUCUGAAGAACUUUAAAUAUAUGUAUUUACCUGAACCCAGCUUCAGGAAUGAGGCUCAGACAUCUGUGUAUUUAAAAUCUCCUGUGGUUAUUCUGAUAAUUAGCCUCAGUUUUGAGUCAUCUAACAAAGAAAAAGCAAAACAUAUGUCAAUCAGUUUAUCUUACUGUAAUUAAACUUCAGUGGGAAACAUGAGGUGACCCCAAAGAACUGGUUAAGUGUGGCUUAAGAAUUAGUUAAGCAAAUGUACCAAAAGACAAUUUUAAAAAACCAAAUAAAAAGAAAUUUUAGUUUAUUCUCAGGGGCUUUCACAGGAGUCUAUAAAAAUCUCAAAAACAUCCAGGAAGCUCCCAUCGAAUAAUUUGGCUACCUGAAGUGCUGAAUAAAAGGAGCUCUCCCAAAAGAAGCUGUGAAUUCUCUAUCAGGCCCAUGUCCACUCUUCUAGUCAUAGCCUUACUUCUUAAAGAAAGAGAGAAGCUCUAAUCCAAAUCCAAACAUAGGACAUAUGGCGAAGAUUAUUCUGAGAGACACAGUCCCAGAUUCUCCUCUGCUAUACAGGUGUGACAAAAAAGGAGCAAGAACAAAGACUCUAACAUAAUCCUUAGAUGUUUAUAAUAGAAAAAAGAAUGGAAAGAAAUAAACUUUAGCAUUUACACAGGUUGAGCUGACCUAAUCUGAAAAUCCAAAAUCCAAACUGCUAAAAAACUGAUUGAGUUCUGAAGCUUUGAGUGUCAAAAUGGCUCCACAAGUAGAAAGCUCCACAUCUGACCUCAUGUGAUAGGUCACGGUCAAAAUGCAAUCAAAAUUUUGCUUCAUGCCCAACAUUAUUUAAAAUAUUGUAUAAAAUUACCUUUGGCUAUAUAUUAAUAUGUAAGGUAUAUAUAAAACAUUAGUGAUUUUUGGUUUAGUCUUGGAUCCUAUCCCCAUAAUAUCUCAAUAUAUGUAUGCAAAUAUUCCAACCUCCCUGCGCCCAAAAAAUCCAAAAUCCUAAGCACUUCCAAAAUCUAACAGUAAAACAGGCUGAGUAUCCCAAGCAUUUUGGAUAACAGAUGUUCAACCUGUAUCACUUGGGGUCCAUUCAGGGGAACAAACCCCACGAGGUAUUUCAACAGAGAUAAUUUCAUAUAGGGAAUUUGUUAAUCAGAUGAUGGGGAACUGAAAAGGAAAAUGAGAACAUUAGAAGAGAUCAUUACAAAAAGCUGCUACCUCCCCUCAGGCUGGAGGAAUGAAAGGAAGCUGAGAUCAGGAAGCUCAUUGGGAAGCUGAUCAAAACUUACAAGGUUCAUAGAGGGGCCCAAAGAUUUAGGACUCAGAAUUCCAAGGAGGGUGUUACCUACCUCCAAGGAGGCUGCUACUGAAAUCUCAGGAGCUUGGAGGGAGGGUCUCACACAAUGGGGGCCUAACCUCUGAAGUGAGGAGCUACCAGCUAGUGCUGGUACCUCAGAAGUUGGGAAGAGGUCCUGUGAUGUUGAGAUGCAGACACAUAAUGAGUGGGCUCUGCAGCUGGUGGUCGUGAAGGGGCACAAUGACUCUGUUAGUGGGAAUGGCCCGAUGAUCUGAAAGCUGUAAUUAACAGCUGCUGCCAGGGUAAAAGGCCAAAGUGGGGUGAUCUGAUGGGAAAAAAUAAACAAGCAGAAAUGAACAAGUUCCUUCUCCCCUUCUCCUGCCAUUUACUCUUCCCCUAGUUCUUCCUAUUGAUGGAAAUUAAUAGUAAGCCUUCUGACAAAGGAGACAUGUUGUCUUCAGAACCAUCAUCACAAAGUAGAGGCUAGGAAAGUAGAUGUGGAACCUAAUACCGGGUGAAUCAUUCAUCGCACAGUUUCAAAGGUGGCAACAGAAUUAGCCAAAAGCAAGUAUAGGAUGAAAAUAACAAAGGGAAGGGCAGAAAUAAAAUAAGACAUAAACAUUUGAUAGAGAGGACCAACAAAACAAAAUUUUAAUUCAGUGGGAAAACAAAAUAAAAUUCUUACAAGCUUGAGUUAAAAAAAAGGAGGAAAAAAGCCACAAUGUUAUGACUGAAAAAAAAAGGUAACUAAAAAUGCUGCAAGGUUAAAUUUAAUGAAAAUAUGAACAACUUUAUGUUAACACAUUUGGAAACAGAUAACACAGGCAUAUUGGAGAGCAAUACAAUUAUUAUAGCUGUAAUCUUAGGGAUUAUUUAAUUAAUCCUUUAGAACAUUCAAUUUCUAUAUAUUAAUAAAAAUAUAAAUAUAUAUUCAAUAUAUGAUAUGUCUCCAUGUAUUUAUAUGAUAUAUUUUAAUAUAGAUGUAUAUUUUUAUAUAUUUCUAUUUCUAUGUAUGUAUAAUUCUAUAAAUAUAUAGAAAUUGAGUGUUCUAAAGGAUUAAUGGAAUUAAAAAAGUAGUUAAAAAAUUCCCACUCAAAAAAAGGAUUAAAAACUCCGGGUUUAGGCUCUUUCAGAAAAUUGAAAAUCCCUGUGCUUAAUUACUUUUUUUAUGUCCUUAAUUUCUUCAAAUAUUUCAUAUAUAUCUGUUUUAUAUCCUGUACCUAAUAAUUUCAGUAUCUACAGUCCUUCAAAGGUGCACUAUCUCUAGCUAUUAUUUAUCAUUUUUGUUGAUGUUCACCCAUGGUUGCUUGUGUAUUCUUUGACUGUACUUGCUGUUCUUUGCAUCUGAAUUUACUGCCUGAUUUUAAUACAUAUAAUCUCCAUGUACCUAAAUUAAAAUAUCUUUUCUCCAGAG
rnacentral:lncRNA from 1 species